UACGAAGGGGGCUAGCGUUGUUCGGAAUCACUGGGCGUAAAGGGCGCGUAGGCGGCCGAUCAAGUCGGGGGUGAAAGCCUGUGGCUCAACCACAGAAUUGCCUUCGAUACCGUUUGGCUUGAGACCGGAAGAGGUUAGUGGAACUGCGAGUGUAGAGGUGACAUUCGUAGGUAUUCGCAAGAACACCAGUGGCGAAGGCGGCUCACUGGCCCGGUACUGACGCUGAGGUGCGAAAGCGUGGGGAGCAAACAGG
rnacentral:rRNA from 1 species